CCUCCCCUGCCCCCUCAGCCGCCGGGCGGCAGAACGAGGCGGCCAGCCGACUCCUGCCCCUCGGCCGGACGAACCGCGGCUGCCGCGCCCGUCACCUCUGCACCUGCCUGGCUGAGUAGAAAAAAAUUACAUUUAAAACAGCAAUGGCCACAUAAGGACAAUUCAGAUGAAGGGCAAGCGGGCUGACAUUGCGCACUUGGGUCUUUCCUGGAAAGACGGCGGCGCUCUGGGAGAAGCCUAGUCCUCCGGCUUGUCCCAGGACCCACCCCAAAGGGCGCUGGGAGCGCGGUGAGGACGUGGCGGUCGCUUUGCGCAUCUCACUCCGGAGACAGGUUCCGCAGAAAGAACCCUCCAUCUCGGCCGCUUGGCUCCAAGAUAAUCUCCUGGCGAAAGCUUAGAGACGGCCAGCUCCUCCCGGGGACUCAGCCCCUAGAUUUAGCUUCUUCCGCCGCAAAAAACAAACAAACAAAAACCUCCCAAGCCCCGCGAACCAGCAGCGCGCCUCUCCAGGCUUCCGGCGUGGGAGUCCCAGCUACACUUCCGAGCCCUUUGCUUGGUCCGCGUCUAUCCGCUCCUCGAUUAGGGAAAGCGCAGUGGGGACGGAGGGAACUGCGGCCUCACGUACCAGGCCUCUGUAGUCCCCCACGCGGCCGGGUCACAAGGAAGCAAUGCCACAAU